rnacentral:rRNA from 1 species
UACGGAGGGUGCAAGCGUUAUCCGGAUUCACUGGGUUUAAAGGGUGCGUAGGCGGGUAAGUAAGUCCGUGGUGAAAUCUCUGAGCUUAACUCAGAAACUGCCGUGGAUACUAUUUGCCUUGAAUAUUGUGGAGGUGAGCGGAAUAUGUCAUGUAGCGGUGAAAUGCUUAGAUAUGACAUAGGACACCAAUUGCGAAGGCAGCUCACUACACAAUCAUUGACGCUGAGGCACGAAAGCGUGGGGAUCAAACAGG